UUAUUCGGGCGCGGAGGACCUAUACCUGACCCGAAUAUUGAUAGAAAUUCCCAUAAUAGAUCCUUUAAAUAUUGAUAAGGUAUUAUCAAUUAUAUGGGCAGGGAGGACCCCCCCUGUAAAAAAAAAUCUAUAUAUAUAAAUUAAAUUAAGCAAUGUCUAACAUUUAAGCAAGUUAAAUUAAAUUUAAAUUAAAUGAAUAAGCAGUGGUGAAUAUUUAAGCAGCCUUGGCAUGUAUGUACGCAUACACUGACACAAGGAUUCCUAAAGAAGAGCUAUCUAUCUGAAGGCAUGAAGAAGUGCAUCGCUGGCAAGCGAAGAAGAAAAGAAGAGCCAGCCAAUUAUUCACCGAGAGACAAUGCCACGUGAAGAAAGCAAAGAUUCCUGAAGAUUGAAGCUUGUCGGCACUCUCUCACACUUUUCUAUAUUAUUAGAAGGACACGCGUGUACCCUAGUAAGACACGUAUGCAUGCUACCGUGUGUAAAAUAAGUGAAGGAAGGCUCCCGAAGGCCACCUUGCAGCCACCCCUCACGGCUAUAAAAGGAGACGCUGGGCUCAACAACAAGGACACACAAGAGACGGGAGAGCACGGAGCACUCAAAGCAUCGAGACUCUCCACCAGAGUACCACUUCCUUUGUAGUCUAGCCACCACCAUCACUAGUAGAAUAGCCAAGAAGGCGAUUAGUUCGCCAAGAGUUUGAAGGCAUGAAGAAGUGCAUCGCUGGCAAGCGAAGAAGAAAAGAAGAGCCAGCCAAUUAUUCACCGAGAGACAAUGCCACGUGAAGAAAGCAAAGAUUCCUGAAGAUUGAAGCUUGUCGGCACUCUCUCACACUUUUCUAUAUUAUUAGAAGGACACACGUGUACCCUAGUAAGACACGUAUGCAUGCUACCGUGUGUAAAAUAAGUGAAGGAAGGCUCCCGAAGGCCACCUUGCAGCCACCCCUCACGGCUAUAAAAGGAGACGCUGGGCUCAACAACAAGGACACACAAGAGACGGGAGAGCACGGAGCACUCAAAGCAUCGAGACUCUCCACCAGAGUACCACUUCCUUUGUAGUCUAGCCACCACCAUCACUAGUAGAAUAGCCAAGAAGGCGAUUAGUUCGCCAAGAGUUUGAAGGUAAUUUCCUAGUUGUGUGUAAUCCCUUCGGGGCCUCCCGAAAGGGAAAACCAUAUGUAAAUUAUGUUGUUGAAAUGAUGUAGUUUCUUGGUUUCA